CUGCGUGAGAGGUGAAAUUCUUGGACCGUAGCGAGACGACCGAAAGCGAAGGCACUUGCCAAGAGUGUUUUCAUUAAUCAAGAACGAAAGUCAGAGGUUCGAAGGCGAUUAGAUACCGCUAUAGUUCUGACCGUAAACGAUGCCAACUGUCGCUCAGCUUGUGGAUUCAAUUCAUGAGCUGGGAGGUUCCCGGAAACGAAAGUUUUUCGGUUCCGGGGGAAGUAUGGUUGCAAAACUGAAACUUAAAGGAAUUGACGGAAGGGCACCACCAGGAGUGGAGCUUGCGGCUUAAUUUGACUCAACACGGGAAAUCUCACCCGGCCAGUACACUGUAAGGAUUGACAGAUUGAUAGCUCUUUCAUGAUUCGGUGAAUGGUGGUGCAUGGCCGUUCUUAGUUCGUGGAUUGAUUUGUCUGGUUUAUUCCGAUAACGAGCGAGACUUUGACUAUUAAAUAGUGCGGUUGUUUCUUUGAUGCAACCGAUCACUUCUUAAAGGAAUUUGGGGUUUCCAACCUCAAGAGAUUGAGCAAUAACAGGUCUGUGAUGCCCUUAGAUGUUCGGGGCCGCACGCGUGCUACAAUGAUGGUAACAGCGUGAUUGUCCUCCUCCGAAAGGAGUUGGCAAACAGUUGAGAUAUUAUUAUGGCUGGAAUUGAGAGUUGAAAUUUUCUCUCAUGAACGAGGAAUUCCAAGUAAAUGUGAGUCAUCAACUCGCAUUGAUUACGUCCCUGCCCUUUGUACACACCGCCCGUCGCUGCCCGGGACUGGGUUACCUCGAGAAAACUAGGGAUCGUCGUUGUCCGACAUGCAUGUGUUGGCUAUGGUGAGAACGAGUUUAAUCGCGGUGGCCUGAACCGGGCAAAAGUCGUAACAAGGUAGC
rnacentral:rRNA from 1 species